rnacentral:lncRNA from 1 species
ACGUCAAUAAGACACGUAUUACCUUGCAAAAAAAAAGAUGUGUGUGAUGUGCCGGACCUGCUUGAUGAUCCCGUCUGGAUUGCUGGUUCUCCGUGCUGCAUUCUCUUUCUGUUCAUGAUGACCGGAGUUGAUUCAAAGCCUGUGUCUUGCUGGGCCCCGUUCUUGAUGAACUUCUCCGCCCAUCGAUUUGAUUCAAAGCCUGUCCGUCGACAUGUGCCGUGGGGUUAGGCAAAGUGUGGGGAGGUAGUGAGAGCGUGGCAAGAGAUGUCAUCGAGAUCUUACCUUGCUGUGCGCCAGAGCCUGCCUGCGGCGUCGCCGGGAG